CCUACGGGAGGCAGCAGUGAGGAAUUUUGCGCAAUGGGGGAAACCCUGACGCAGCGACGCCGCGUGGAGGAUGACGUCUUUCGGGAUGUAAACUCCUGUCAGUGGGAACGAUAAUGACGGUACCCACAGAGGAAGCACCGGCUAACUCCGUGCCAGCAGCCGCGGUAAGACGGAGGGUGCAAGCGUUGUUCGGAAUUACUGGGCGUAAAGCGUACGUAGGCGGUUGAUUAAGUCAAAUGUUAAAGCCCGGAGCUCAACUCCGAGGAUGCACUUGAUACUGGUCGACUAGAGGGCGAUAGAGGAAAGCGGAAUUCCGAGUGUAGCGGUGAAAUGCGUAGAUAUUCGGAGGAACAUCGGUAGCGAAAGCGGCUUUCUGGGUCGCUCCUGACGCUGAGGUACGAAAGCGUGGGUAGCAAACGGGAUUAGAAACCCGGGUAGUCC
rnacentral:rRNA from 1 species